rnacentral:rRNA from 1 species
GACGAACGUUGGCGGCGUGCUUAAUACAUGCAAGUCAACUGAAGCAGUGGUAGCAAUAUCGCUGUGGAGGUGGCGCACGGGUGAGUAACACGUAGGUAAUCUGCCUUCAGGUCUGGCAUAACUCCGGGAAACCGGGGCUAAUAGCAGAUGAUGCAGCGGCUCGACAUCGAGACAGUUGUUAAAGCUAUGGCGCCUGAAGAUGAGCCUGCGUCUGAUUAGCUAGUUGGCGGGGUAACGGCCCACCAAGGCAACGAUCAGUAGCUGGUCUGAGAGGAUGAUCAGCCACACUGGAACUGUGACACGGUCCAGACUCCUACGGGAGGCAGCAGUAAGGAAUAUUGCUCAAUGGGAGAAAUCCUGAAGCAGCAACGCCGCGUGAGGGACGAAGGGCUUUUGCUUGUAAACCUCUGUAGUGAGAGAAAAAAAUCCCAAUCUUUGGGACAUGAUGGUAUCUCAAAAGUAAGCCCCGGCUAACUACGUG